AUUGAACGCUGGCGGCAUGCCUUACACAUGCAAGUCGAACGGCAGCACGGGAGCUUGCUCCUGGUGGCGAGUGGCGAACGGGUGAGUAAUACAUCGGAACGUACCCUGAAGUGGGGGAUAACGUAGCGAAAGUUACGCUAAUACCGCAUAUUCUGUGAGCAGGAAAGAGGGGGAUCGCAAGACCUCUUGCUUUAGGAGCGGCCGAUGUCGGAUUAGCUAGUUGGUGAGGUAAAGGCUCACCAAGGCGACGAUCCGUAGCGGGUCUGAGAGGAUGAUCCGCCACACUGGGACUGAGACACGGCCCAGACUCCUACGGGAGGCAGCAGUGGGGAAUUUUGGACAAUGGGCGCAAGCUUGAUCCAGCCAUGCCGCGUGAGUGAAGAAGGCC
rnacentral:rRNA from 1 species